AAGUUAAUUUCUAUCAAAUUUUUGCUAUUUAACUAGAUGUUACAUAUAACGGGAGUACUAAAAAGUAGUGUUCUACGAGAGUACUAAAAAAUAGCAUUUUCUUCCCUUAAAUAAAAAAAUUCAGUUUCCUUAAAUUAGAAAGCAGGACCCAUAUAUCUAUAGAGAGUGUACAUGUUCACUUAAUAAUCAUUGAGCUUUCUUUGCCCAUAAAUGAAUGAAAUGCUUGCUAGUAUUUUGAACAUAGAUUUUUAGUUCUUAUUUUCUCUUUUUCUUUAAAGAAAAAAUGGGUUGCAGAAUAAAUGAAGCAAUUCAUAAUCUUAUAAAUACCAUAUAUGCAACACUCAAGAACAACAAAAGAAAAGAAGGCGGGAUUUUAUAAGGGAGGAAAUAAAAUUGAGGUGUGGGGUUCAAGGGCAUUUGGGACCUCCUCUUUUUGUCUUCCAAUUGUUGUAGCAAGGGCAGGAUUGCUUGUUUCCAUAAGUUCCAGAAGGCACACACAAGCACUUUGCACAACACUUCUGACAGAAGAACAUGCAUGGCUUCUUGUAAGCUGUCUUUGAGCAUCUUGUGGUGCAACGUGGUGCACAUUCUACAACCCCAACCAAAUCCAUCAAUAUUUCACAUUUUUCUUUAGGAAAAAUUAAUUCUUUAUUUUACGAAAGAAUUGAAUGAUAACGAUGUUUAAUCCCAGCUAUUAUUAUCAUCGUAAUAGUUCUUCAUAUGAUAUAUCAAUUCAUUCUUACUUUGGAUGGUUGUUUCUUAAUCAAUUACCUUGAGGAUGAAGGCUGCCUUGAGUGGUGCCAUACUGAAAAUCAAACAAGGAAUAAAACAAAAUGAUUGUAUUAUAAUUAGGAAAAGCGUUGUUAUAAUAAUACAUGCAUUCGCCAAAUUAAUAUAAAAAUCUCACUGUCGGAAGAUUGCUGUUUGGUUGUGGCUGAGGAGUUGGAGCCUCAGUUAUGUUAGCCUGCAACCAUGCAACAUUCAUAUUCAUUAGAUGAGAGAAGCAAAUAAUAUUGACAAUCAUACUUGAAAACCGCUUUUGGCCAUCAAAAAGAAUGUUUGAAAUGACAAUGAGAAGAGGACAAUGCAACUUUCUUUGUAAUUAAGUUGGAAUGAAAAGAGGGUUUAAUUAUUAUUAAGAGGGAUUAAUUAUCGGAGCCAACCUAAUAUGGUGAUUAAUUAAUAGCCUGAAUGUCUUUACAAAUGCUAACAGUAAUAUUUCAGUAAAAGAAGAGAGAAUAAAAAUAAUUGCCAACUUACAUUGUUCUCUGCUACAAAAAGAAGCAUCCAACAAAGAACAAAGAAGGCAAUGCUUGCUUUCCUCAUAAUUGCCUAUGCUUGGAAGCAACAGCAGAGAUACGAAGCUGAGAGAGAGAGAGAGAGAGAG
rnacentral:misc_RNA from 1 species